UUUUGAUGUGUCAGGAUAAAAAUUUAUAGGCUGCCUUUGGUUCCAAUAUAAAUAAGAAUCGUUUGUUCCAGAGAUAGGUCCAAGUUCAGGUAUAAAGAGGAUCUAGACUAAUUUUGCAUUUUGAUGAAAAUUACGUUGUUUUUAGAAAUAAGGUAAAUAGUGUUUUGAUGAUUAGAUUAGAACAAGAGGAAUAAGAGUUAUAAUUUGAAAUUAAAAUUAUAUUAUGUAAUUAAUUAACAUUAAAAUAUUACUUAAAAAUAAAUAAUAAAUUAAUUAUUAAUAAUUAUUAAUAAUUAUUAAUAAUAAAUUAUAAAUAAUUAAUUAUCUAAUUAUUAAUAAUAAUAAUUAUUAAUAAAUAAUAAUAAGUACUAAUUAUUAUUAUUAAUUAAUUAUAAAUAAUAAAUUAAUAAUAAUAUCGAUUAUUUAAUUAUUAAUAAUAAUAAUUAUUAAUAUUUAUUUAUAAAUAUUAAUAAUAAUNAUUAUUAAUUAUUAUUAUUAAUUAAUUAUAAAUAAUAAAUUAAUAAUAAUAUCGAUUAUUUAAUUAUUAAUAAUAAUAAUUAUUAAUAUUUAUUUAUAAAUAUUAAUAAUAAUUAAUUAUAAAUAAUAAAUUAAUAAUAAUAUUGAUUAUCUAAUUAUUAAGAAUAAUAAUUAUUAAUAAUUAAUUAUAAGUAAUAAAUUGACACGUCCCGAAUUCUCGUUUUUCCGGGCACGUUAACAGACCCGCCGCAUACAUAGAAAUUUUUUCUGUAUACGAAGCAAAGCUGUAACUGUAACUGUAAACAUAUACACUACAACUUGUAGUAUAGAGCUGCUAGAAUGAACAGGUAAAACGAAAAGCAAGUUCCAUAUACAUACAUAGCUUCAAGGUACAAAAGUACUCGCCUAGCGAGUUAUACAUAUGUAUGUACAUGAACUCAAAAAUAAAAGUAUAACUACCUACAGAAGGUGAUCCUCUAUCUCGGCGACUCGUAUGGUAGGGCUCUACUCACAACGCCCUUGUCACGGUCUAUCUCAGAAGAAGCAACAGUCAGAACCGAAAGCUCUACAAAAAAAGGAUAACAACUGGGCGUGAGAACUAGUGUAAAAAUUAGUAGUUCUCAAUGGGUACCGUCCUCAAAAUCAUCGGUUCACUCACCAAGUCUACAGAAAGGAGCUGGGAUAGUAAGAAAGUUGGAAAAAUCUACAGCUAAAUGCUACUAUUCUAUCAUGCUCUAACACCAACCAUCUGUAGAAAAAAAUGUCAAUCCUGACCCAAUCUCAUUAGGGACUGUAAGUAUACCCGUCUCAGGGACUGUGAACACACCCGUCCCGCCUGUCAAAGCUGAAUCUACCUUCACACUAACCAGUCCGUGAAUAGUAAGUACAAACAGGACACCUCGACAUCAAAACAGAAGCACUAAGUCUAACUCCGGAGUGACACUCGUAGGCGCGACCCAACCAAGUAUGCAAGCGUAUCUCUGUCAAGCUCAACCAAUCUCUCACGAGCUAAAGUCAAGUAAACAGGAUCGAACCAGUUUAACAACCAAAACGCACGUGCCCUCGGCACAAUCUAAUGCUAUAUCACUAAUCCGGUUCCACGGUCAAUCCCAACGGCACCCAACAGUCCGGAACAGUCUGAACACUACUAUAAAAAUAGGCUCAGUAUCCCGGCACGAGCAUAACUGCACUCCAAACUAUCUAAGAUAUCCGUCGCUCUGAAACUGCGAUGAUAUAAAAUAAUAACGGCUCCUAGAGCUAAAUUUGAUAGUUUAAGUAUAUGACAGGUCAUAUUCGCGAGUUUU
rnacentral:lncRNA from 1 species